rnacentral:lncRNA from 10 species
ACAUGCCCAACAGAAAUGUAGCCACGUAGGAACCAAAAAAUAAAGUAUAAGAAUGUUUACAGCACUUGCAAUAGCCAAAAGCUGGAAAAUGCCAUAUAUGCAUCUGAAUGUAAGAGAGAAACUGCAGUAGAGUCACACAAUGAGUCACUCUAGAACAGUGAUUUUCCAAGCAUGGGCUCCAGCCCCACAGCACCAGCAUCAGCAUGCCUGAGAACCUGCUGAAUAAAGAACUCUGCAGGGGGCCCCGCAACUGUACUGCAGCAUGCAUUCUGAGGCACGCUACAGUUUUCAGAAGCAUUGAUCCACAGCAAAGAAAUAACUAAAAAUGAAUUUGAAAACAUGUUAUGCAUAAGCCAGACCAAAAAUUAUAUGUACUAUAUGAUACCAUUCACAUGAAGUUAAAAACAGGCAAAAAUAAACUAUAGUGUUAGUUCAAGGAAAUAUAGGAAAUGGAAAAAAGACAAAGUAAGAAAUCAGGGAAAAGUAACCAAAGAUGUGGAGAAUAUUACUAAGAGUUAUAAAAAGCUACUUUGUUCAACACAAGUAACUUAUGACCUUGAAUUACUGGAUGCUUUUUAGGAAAUUAUAAAUUACUAAAACUGUUUCCUAGAGAGAGAAAAUCUAUUUGGACAAGUCAGUAUUGACAACACUGUCAAAAAAAGUACCCCCAAUUCCUCCCCUCUGCUCCACAUCACAAUAAAUAAGCAAAAACGGGACAAAGGACCCAAACCUUUAGGGAACAGCUAUCAUGUGAGUUAAACUAGACUAAAGGAUAAAAAUAUGAAAGACCAAAAAAAUGUUUUAUGAAAGUAUUACAAAAUUAAAAUCAAAGCCCAAUGAAAAUGGGCAGAUGAAAAAGAAAACGUAAAUACAUUUAAGUAUCAGUGCAAAAAUUUAAAUAAAAGAUUGGCAGAC